GGGGCUGAUUCUGGAUUCGACGGGAUUUGCGAAACCCAAGGUGCAUGCCGAGGGGCGGUUGGCCUCGUAAAAAGCCGCAAAAAAUAGUCGCAAACGACGAAAACUACGCUUUAGCAGCUUAAUAACCUGCUUAGAGCCCUCUCUCCCUAGCCUCCGCUCUUAGGACGGGGAUCAAGAGAGGUCAAACCCAAAAGAGAUCGCGUGGAAGCCCUGCCUGGGGUUGAAGCGUUAAAACUUAAUCAGGCUAGUUUGUUAGUGGCGUGUCCGUCCGCAGCUGGCAAGCGAAUGUAAAGACUGACUAAGCAUGUAGUACCGAGGAUGUAGGAAUUUCGGACGCGGGUUCAACUCCCGCCAGC
rnacentral:tmRNA from 2 species